AGAGCGACCAAUGGGGAGCCAGUUUAGUUCAGGCUAAACCGCUCCUAGCCAAUGAAACCAGAUGAUUUUUUGUGUAUACAAAUAGAGGAUGCGCAGACUCCCCGCACAAGCCUCCUCUCAGCCGUGGUGUGGGUGUCGCUGGAAAUCAAUUUACAGUUUUCUACCAGGUGCCAUUUUGUGCUGGCAUUGAUCUGUGACCUGUGUUGCAGAAGUUCGAUGGCCAGUUAGAAUAACCUUGCCGGUUUGGACCUCCUGGCCCUUAAGUGUGUAACCUCUGACCCCACCAGGCCUCAUGGAGGACGCCAGGCCUCAGUUUCCUCAUGUUGCAAAUGUGCACUGGGAUCCUUUCUGAUGCCAGGGAAAGGAGUCGGGAGAGUCCCAAGGCCUUAUUCGGGGCAUUUCUCUGUCUGUGACUGAUCCAUGGCCACCAGCCACAGGACUUCUCUGGGACUCGGUUUCCCAGUUUAGGGAAUGGACACACAGUUGCCUGGAAAAGGGUGGCCAGAGCUGCCUGGGCAGCCCUUAGGAUUUGCCAAGCAAGGAGGAAGCCCGGAAGCUGAACUUGGUCUGUUUGCUCAUCUGUGCAGUGGGGACGUGGUGCCCAUCUCAGUGCAUCCCUGCCAGUCUGUGGGUCAGAAUGCGAGGCAGAGGCAUCCUCCGCACAUCUUAGCACCUUGGUGCUCCCACAGCAGUUUAGUUUGUUGGCCUUUUCAGUCGUGCACAGGACCAGCAGUAUCUGGGCCUAACUUGGCCAAAGGAACCUGAAAAGACUAUUGGCUACCAUCUUCCCUUCAAGGAGCCUCAGCUUCCUGGAAAAGGAAAAAGGAAGGUACAAAAGAAACUUUCAGCACAACAAUCAUCAUCAUAAGUACAGUUUGUGGAGAAUUGGGUACAUGUGGGCAUUUUACACGCCUUACCUUCUAUUUUAGCCUGCUGUGUGCAGACGAUUCCAGCCCAUUUAACAGGCAAGGAAACUGAAGGAGCAGGAGGUCAGGUGACUUGCCCAGGUCCCCCAGCAAGGACAUGGCAGAGCUGGUGGUUAAACUGAGCUGUAUCUCAAAAACCCACCCCAAAGACAUAACGAUAAUGAUGAUAAUACUACUGGUUAUUAUCUAUUAUGUGUGUGUUGUGUGCCAAGCACUGUUCUAAUUUCUUUACAUGCUUGAUCUCAUUUAAUCCUGCAACAACCUUGUCAGGUGGCUACUGUGAUCCCCUCUGGACAUGUGUAUUCGUUCAAUACAUUUUUUUGGAGAACCUGUGAUGUGGCAUGCAAGAUGCUAUGGGGAUACAGCAGAGAAUAAAAGGGACAAAACCCGUGCUUUCCUGGAGCUUACAUCCUAGUGGCGCAGCCAGACAGCGAGUCAAGUGAAGCAGUGGGAGUGGAGAAAGAACAAAGAAAUCUGUAACUGGUUGUGAUCAAUUUGUUCUACUCUUGCUGCCAGCGGCCUCAAGUCCACUGCUGAUUGGCUCCUCCCUGGAAGAGAAUUUCCUCUUUUUUGGGGGGACACUCCUGUUGUCUGCCUCUUCAGGAUCACUAACUGUUUCCUUCGGUGAAGAUUUCUUUCUCUUGGGAAGAUUUGUGCUGCCAGCUCUCUUCAAGAUCACUAUUAACCAGCUCCUCCUUGGAAAAAGAUUACUUUUUUUUUUUUUUUUUUAAGAUGACUGGUAAGGGGAUCUUAACCCUUGACUUGGUGUUGUCAGCACCACGCUCUCCCAAGUGAGCCAUGGGCCGGCCGGCCUUAUAUAGGGAUCCAAACCCGUGGUCUUGGUGUUAUCAGCACCACACUCUCCCAAGUGAGCCACAGACCGGCCCUAAGAUUUCUUUUUUUGGGUUUAGAGAAAGAGGUAGAUGGGUUUUCCACUCCAUUCUCGAGGAGCCUCCUGUGAUUUUUGCUUUUUUUUUUUUUCCCUUAUGAAUAAUAGCCUUAAAACUGGGCCAGCAACCCUUUUCCAAAAUGAUUUUUCGACCUCGUGGCCCAUUGGUCUCUGUUCCAUCCUGCUCAACUCUGCUGCUGUAG